CCUGGCUCAGAUUGAACGCUGGCGGAAUGCUUUACACAUGCAAGUCGAGCGGCAGCGCGGGGCAACCUGGCGGCGAGCGGCGAACGGGUGAGUAAUACAUCGGAACGUACCCAGUUGUGGGGGAUAGCCCGGCGAAAGCCGGAUUAAUACCGCAUACGACCUGAGGGUGAAAGGGGGGGAUCGCAAGACCUCUCGCAGUUGGAGCGGCCGAUGGCGGAUUAGCUAGUUGGUAGGGUAAAGGCCUACCAAGGCGACGAUCCGUAGCUGGUCUGAGAGGACGACCAGCCACACUGGAACUGAGACACGGUCCAGACUCCUACGGGAGGCAGCAGUGGGGAAUUUUGGACAAUGGGGGCAACCCUGAUCCAGCCAUUCCGCGUGAGUGAAGAAGGCCUCGGUUGUAAGAC
rnacentral:rRNA from 1 species